GACGAACGCUGGCGGCGUGCUUAACACAUGCAAGUCGAACGGAAAGGCCCUGCUUUUGUGGGGUUCUCGAGUGGCGAACGGGUGAGUAACACGUGAGUAACCUGCCCUUGACUUUGGGAUAACUUCAGGAAACUGGGGCUAAUACCGGAUAGGAGCUCCUGCUGCAUGGUGGGGGUUGGAAAGUUUCGGCGGUUGGGGAUGGACUCGCGGCUUAUCAGCUUGUUGGUUGGGUAGUGGCUUACCAAGGCUUUGACGGGUAGCCGGCCUGAGAGGGUGAACGGCCACAUUGGGAGUGAGAGACGGCCAAGCCUCCUACCGGAGGCAGCAGUGGGGAAUAUUGCCCAAUGGGCGGAAGCCAGAUGUAGCACCGCCGCGUGCGGGAUGACGGCCUUCGGGUUGUAAACCGCUUUCGCCUGUGACGAAGCGUGAGUGACGGUAAUGGGUAAAGAAGCACCGGCUAACUACGUG
rnacentral:rRNA from 1 species